rnacentral:rRNA from 1 species
CCUACGGGAGGCUGCAGUGGGGAAUAUUGCACAAUGGGUGCAAGCCUGAUGCAGCCAUGCCGCGUGUGUGAAGAAGGCCUUCGGGUUGUAAAGCACUUUCAGCGGGGAGGAAGGCGGUGAGGUUAAUAACCUCAUCGAUUGACGUUACCCGCAGAAGAAGCACCGGCUAACUCCGUGCCAGCAGCCGCGGUAAUACGGAGGGUGCAAGCGUUAAUCGGAAUUACUGGGCGUAAAGCGCACGCAGGCGGUCUGUCAAGUCGGAUGUGAAAUCCCCGGGCUCAACCUGGGAACUGCACUCGAAACUGGCAGGCUAGAGUCUUGUAGAGGGGGGUAGAAUUCCAGGUGUAGCGGUGAAAUGCGUAGAGAUCUGGAGGAAUACCGGUGGCGAAGGCGGCCCCCUGGACAAAGACUGACGCUCAGGUGCGAAAGCGUGGGGAGCAAACAGGAUUAGAUACCCUAGUAGUC